CCUACGGGUGGCAGCAGUGAGGAAUAUUGGUCAAUGGCCGGAAGUCUGAACCAGCCAAGCCGCGUGAAGGACGAAGGUGCCAAGCAUUGUAAACUUCUUUUGUCAAGGGACAAAAUCAGGCUCGAGCGCCUGACCGAGGGUACUUGAAGAAAAAGCAUGGGCUAACUCCGUGCCAGCAGCCGCGGUAGUACGGAGGAUGCGGGCGUUAUCCGGAUUUAUUGGGUUUAAAGGGUGCGUAGGCGGGCUGUUAAGUCAGCGGGCAAAUGCCGGGGCUCAACCCCGGCCUGCCGUUGAAACUGGCGGCCUCGAGUGGGGGAGAAGUAUGCGGAAUGCGUGGUGUAGCGGUGAAAUGCAUAGAUAUCACGCAGAACUCCGAUGGCGAAGGCGGCAUACCGGAGCCCAACUGACGCUGAGGCACGAAAGCGUGGGGAUCGAACAGGAUUAGAUACCCCUGUAGUC
rnacentral:rRNA from 1 species